GUGAGGAAUAUUGGUCAAUGGGCGAGAGCCUGAACCAGCCAAGUCGCGUGAAGGAAGAAGGAUCUAUGGUUCGUAAACUUCUUUUGCAGGGGAAUAAAGUGCAGGACGUGUCCUGUUUUGUAUGUACCCUGAGAAUAAGGUUCGGCUAACUCCGUGCCAGCAGCCGCGGUAAUACGGAGGAUCCGAGCGUUAUCCGGAUUUAUUGGGUUUAAAGGGUGCGUAGGUGGUUUGAUAAGUCAGCGGUGAAAGUUUGCAGCUUAACUGUAAAAAUGCCGUUGAAACUGUCGGACUUGAGUGUAAAUGAGGUAGGCGGAAUGCGUGGUGUAGCGGUGAAAUGCAUAGAUAUCACGCAGAACUCCGAUUGCGAAGGCAGCUUACUAAGCUACAACUGACACUGAAGCACGAAAGCGUGGGGAUCAAACAGGAUUAGAAACCCGUGUAGUCC
rnacentral:rRNA from 1 species